GGGUGUACUCCUAGAAUUAACAAU
rnacentral:siRNA from 1 species